rnacentral:misc_RNA from 1 species
AAAUGCACAUAACAUUUUUACAUAAGAAGACUAGUUGGACUUGUACAAUUGACCCUCAUGGCAAAGACUGAGGUGCCUUCUCCUUCAAAUAAUAAACUAUUUUGUACUAAAACUGUAUGGAUCGGGUAAUCUGAUCAAUGUGAUUAUGUACAUCAGCUGAGACAGUUUUUUAAACAGAGAACUAAAGAAUCCAAGUUUGUGCACAAAAGCUGUUGAUUGUUUCUCCAGAAGUAUUUUGCAUUUGAUACAUCUUACUGUUUGACUGGGGAUUCAGGAGGUUUCAGUCGUUGCUGUUCAUAUUCCUGCUUCAGUUCCACCAAACUCUUGGAAACCUUGAUUGAAAAAGCCAUUGGUAAAAGUAUAUCUGGAUUCAUG